rnacentral:rRNA from 1 species
UACGUAGGUGACAAGCGUUGUCCGGAUUUACUGGGCGUAAAGAGCGCGCAGGCGGUCGUUCAAGUCGAGUGUGAAAGCCCCCCGGCUCAACUGGGGAGGGUCAUUCGAUACUGAUCGACUCGAAGGCAGGAGAGGGUAGUGGAAUUCCCGGUGUAGUGGUGAAAUGCGUAGAUAUCGGGAGGAACACCUGUGGCGAAAGCGGCGCACUGGACCACAACUGACGCUGAGGCGCGAAAGCUAGGGGGAGCAAACAGG